rnacentral:tRNA from 1 species
UGGGGCGUCGCCAAGCGGUAAGGCACUGGUCUCUGACACCAGCAUUCCAAGGUUCGAAUCCUUGCGCCCCAG